GAUGAAGAACGUAGCGAAAUGUGAUACGUAGUGUGAAUUGCAGAAUUCAGUGAAUCAUCGAAUCUUUGAACGCACAUUGCACCUCUCGGUAUUCCGGGAGGUAUGCCUGUUCGAGCGUCAUUUGUACCCUCAAGCUCUGCUUGGUGUUGGGUGUUUGUUCCGCCUCUGUGUGUGAACUCGCCUCAAAACAAUUGGCAGCCGGCGUACUUGUUUCGGAGCGCAGCACAUUUUGCGAUCCAGAUCAACGUACAGCGGCAUCCAAGAAGCCUUAUUUAACGCUCUUGACCUCGGAUCAGGAAGGGAUACCCGCUGAACUUAAGCAUAUCAAUAAGCGGAGGA
rnacentral:misc_RNA from 1 species